GGGAUACAAAGGCCUUUGUGAUGGCAUUAGGUUUGUCAAAAUCUCCCAGAUUGUGGAUGGACCAUUGUUAUUCCUAAGUUCAUAGACUCAUGGAUACCCAGACCAAUGCAUGGCCAAUCCAACAUGCUUUGUUUUCUUUUUCUAAAUUUUGAAAUAUCUUAAGUAUACUGAAAAACAGAAAAAAAAAAAACUCCUUUUCAGAUGCAUUUUGCCAUAUUUGUGUUAGAGUUAACAAAAAUAAAACAUUGUAGAUACAGCUGAAGCUCCCUUCCUAAAUCCUAUUUCUUUUCUUUUCCAGGGAUACUCUCUCAACUAAACAUAAUGUUCUUUCAUUCCCAUGCAAGUUUCUAAACGUUUGCUAUGUAUGUAUAAAUCCACUAAUGAUGUGUGGUAUUGCUUUGCGGAUUUUUAAAACUUGUAUAAAUAGUAACCUAGGAGUCCCCACUGUGGCUCAAUGGUGGUUAACGAAUCCGACUAGGAACCAUGAGGUUGCGGGUUCGGUCCCUGCCCUUGCUCAGUGGGUUAAGGAUCCGGCGUUGCCGUGGGCUGUGGUGUAGGUCACACACAGGGCUCGGAUCUGGCGUUGCUGUGGCUCUGGCUCUGGCCGGCGGCUACAGUUCCAAUUAGACCCCUAGCCUGGGAACCUCCAUAUGCUGCGGGAGCGGCCCAAGAAAUGGCAAAAAGACAAAAAAAAUAAAAAAAACAAUAAAAAAAAUAAAGACACGUAUCCACUGCAACCUGCAUAAAUCCAAGGAGGGUUACAUUUCCUCAGGACUGUGGUUUCACAAGUCAGAAGAUGGAGUUAGGACCUUUUCCCACCCUUGAGCAAAUCCUGUGUUGUGCAAAAUUCUUACCACCCUGCAGAAAAUGGGAAGACUAAUAGCACACAUUGAUGGACCAGUGACUAUGUGCCAGGUGCUCUUCUAAACACUUCAUCACCUUAUUUAAUCCUCAAAACAAUACACUGAGAUAAGAAGUGAUUUUCCCAUUUUACACAUGACAAAACUGAAGCUGGAAGAAGUGAGAUAACUUGUUUAGUGAUGAAUCAAAGUCAGGAUUGGGAGUUCCUGUUGUGGCUCAGGGGUAAUGAACCCAACUAGUAUCCGUGAGGAUGAGGGUUUGAUCCCUGGCCUCACUCAGUGGGUAAAGGAUCCGCGUUGCCGUGAGCUGCAGUGUAGGUCGCAGACGUGGCUCGGAUCGGCGUUCCUGUGGCUGUAGUGUAGGCUGACAGCUACAGCUUCGCUUCAGCCCCUAGCCUGGGAACUUCCAUAUGCCAUGGGUGUGGCCCUAAAAAGACAAAAAAAAGAAGAAAAGUCAGGAGCCUCUGUGUCGAAAUGUUUACCCCACAGCAGAUCUAGUAAAAGUCUCUCAUUCACUAGUGUGCUAAGCAGAGGUCCCUGUUAGUUUUAAGGUGGUGUCUAUUGGUCAGAUAACAUAGUCUUUCUUUUUUGUUUAAAUAUUUAUAUUAAAAAAUUCUAUAGCUCCUCAAGGAUGUUUGGCAUCAAUAGGGAUUUGUAACCUAGAACUAUAGGUACUAAGAUUAAGUCUUGUGCUAAGAACAGGAAAUAAGGGGAAAAAAAAAACAGCAUUAAGAUUGAUGACUCUUCUACUAGUUUCUUUCCAUGGACAAAAACAUUGUGAUGAACCUAUAAUAAAAUGACAUUUGUUAUUAUUAUUGUACUUAUCAUUAUUAACAAUAAAAUAAUUAUUAAUUGACAAGAAAAUUAUUAAUAUAAUUUAAAAUUUCAUAGCUACCAUUUAAGUGCCUUAUAUGUACCAAGCAUAUGCUUAGCAUUUCACAUAUAUUAUUUCUGAUCCUUACUAUAACCUUGCACAACAGGCCCUGUAUUAGUUAUCUAUUGCUGCGUAACAAGCAAUCUCCAAAUUUAGCAGUUUAAAACAACAUUUACUUUUUUUUAUCCAAUCUGUUGUACAGUAGAAAAUUGACAGAACACUGUAAACCAGCUAUAAUGGAAAAAAAUAAGAAUCAUUAUAUAUAUAUAUGUAUAUAUAUAAAUAACCCCAUUUAUUAUCUCACACCGUUUUCAGGAUCAGGAAUCUGAGAGGCUUAGCUCAGUGGUCCAUGAGCUUGCAGUCAAGCUGUUGGCUGGGUCUGCUGCUCCCGAAGGUUUGGCUAGGGCUGGAAGUUCUGCUUCCAGGCUCACUCAGUGACACAUGAUCAUCUCUACAGGGCUGCUCCCAACGUGGCUUUCCCCGGAUUGAGCGAGAGAGGAACGCCCAAGACGGGUGCCGCAGUCUUUUAUGAUUUAAUCUCAGAAGUGACGUACCAUUGCUUCUGCUGUGUGCAAUUGGUCAUAGAAGUCCACUCUGAUAAAAUGGUAAAAUGUGGGAGAGGAGUGCACAGGGUGUGUCAACCAGGAGGUGGGACUCUUUGGGGACAUCUUGGAGGCUGGCUACCUUGGGCCUUAUUAACCCCAUUUUCCUGAUGAGAAAGGGAUGUCCACAGAGGUUCAUAAAUCCUCAUGCUCUGUAUCUAGCAGGUGAGUAAGCUGUAAUUUGAACACUGCUCUGGUUGACUGCAUUGUCUGGAUGCUUUCUAAAAUGCCCAAUGCAGGGAAGCCUGAAACAAACAAACAAACAAAAACACAGCACAUGCAGACCUGGCCAGGGAGAGCCUUGCUUUUUCCCGAGGGUGCCCCAGAUUGCUCUUUGCUUGUAGAUACCUGCCUUUACAGAGUUAGUAUGUCCCUGAAGAGCUGGGCACAAACCAAAGAUGUGCAAAUUCCAUUUUAUUUAAAAUGUAGGACUUCCCUGGUGGUCUAGCAGUUAAGGGCACAACAUUGUCACUGCUGUGGCUCUGGUUCAGUUCCUUGCCUGGGAACUUCUGCAUGCCACGGGCUUGGCCAAAAAAAAAAAAAAAAAAAAAAAAAAAAAAAGU
rnacentral:lncRNA from 1 species